UGGCGGACGGGUGAGUAAUGUCUGGGAAACUGCCUGAUGGAGGGGGAUAACUACUGGAAACGGUAGCUAAUACCGCAUAACGUCGCAAGACCAAAGAGGGGGACCUUCGGGCCUCUUGCCAUCGGAUGUGCCCAGAUGGGAUUAGCUAGUAGGUGGGGUAACGGCUCACCUAGGCGACGAUCCCUAGCUGGUCUGAGAGGAUGACCAGCCACACUGGAACUGAGACACGGUCCAGACUCCUACGGGAGGCAGCCAUG
rnacentral:rRNA from 1 species